rnacentral:rRNA from 1 species
UCCCAGACUCCUACGGGAGGCAGCAGUGGGGAAUAUUGGGCAAUGGAGGAAACUCUGACCCAGCAAUGCCGCGUGAAUGAAGAAGGUCUUCGGAUUGUAAAGUUCUUUAGUCAGGGAAGAAGUCAAUGACGGUACCUGCAAAGGAAGCACCGGCUAACUCCGUGCCAGCAGCCGCGGUAAUACGGAGGGUGCGAGCGUUAAUCGGAAUUACUGGGCGUAAAGCGCUCGUAGGCGGUAUGUCAAGUCAAGGGUGAAAUCCCCGCGCUCAACGUGGGAACUGCCUUUGAAACUGGCAAACUGGAGUGUGUGAGAGGAUAGUGGAAUUCCAGGUGUAGGAGUGAAAUCCGUAGAUAUCUGGAGGAACAUCAGUGGCGAAGGCGACUAUCUGGCACAUAACUGACGCUGAGGAGCGAAAGCGUGGGUAGCAAACAGGAUUAGAUACCCGCGUA